rnacentral:rRNA from 1 species
GACUCUCGGCAACGGAUAUCUCGGCUCACGCAUCGAUGAAGAACGUAGCAAAAUGCGAUACUUGGUGUGAAUUGCAGAAUCCCGUGAACCAUCGAGUUUUUGAACGCAAGUUGCGCCCGAAGCCAUUCGGCCGAGGGCACGUCUGCCUGGGCGUCACAC